UGGAAAAAAUACAACCUCUUCUUGGCGUUUUUUCCAGGAUGCUACAAAAUCACCACCGUCUUUAGCCAUGCACAAACGGUAGUUUUGUGCGUUGGUUGCUCCACUGUUCUCUGUCAGCCCACAGGAGGAAAAGCAAGGCUUACAGAAGGAUGCUCCUUCAGAAGGAAGCAGCACUAAACGCACCUCAAAUCAAGAUGAGUGGGACACCAUCCCAAUAAACACAUUUUGGAUACAUCCUGUUUAUUGUCUUGUUUUACUGGUAGGAAGUUCUUACCGCAAGUAUUCAGGGCCAACCAGAAGAAUGGACCGCUAGUCAUUUGGGGCAAAAUUAAGAACAAGUUGCUCUUCGAAACACAAGCCAGCACACCACUUGAACAGAACAGCUCAGGACCCUUUAUUUACAAUUCUCAGAAACCUUCUCUGGAGGCUUAUAAGUAUAGAGGUUGUUGCUAGGCGGCUUCUGGUGGCCAGGGGUUAGAAAUCUCCGGUUUCCUACAGUUACGGAGACUUGUCUAAGUACAGUUUUUGAAAUGAAGGAUAUAAGGACUCCUUACCUAGAAAGAUGAAAGCUGUUGAUGCCAGCACUACAAAGAGGG